UAAUAAAAGCUAUAGACAGGUGCUCGUUACGAGAGUAAAAGGGAACCGGGUGCAAAUCCCGGACGGUCGCGCCACUGUAACCGGCGAGAUUUUCCAUAGAACCACUGAAGCUUCAGCUUUGGGAAGGUAUGGCAAAUCGUUUGAGUCGGAAGUCAGGAAACCUGCCUGUUUAUGCAAAAGAAC
rnacentral:ncRNA from 2 species